GGGGUUGUGGCUCAGUGGUGGAGGGCUCGCCUAGCACGUGUGGGGCCCUGAGUUCUAUCCUCAGCACCACG
rnacentral:tRNA from 1 species